UUCGGAAAUGAAGAUUUUGUGACUGAGUGGCGGACGGGUGAGUAACGCGUGGGUAACCUGCCUUUCAGUGGGGGACAACAGUUGGAAACGACUGCUAAUACCGCAUAAUGCAUUUUGACCGCAUGAUCGAGAUGCCAAAGAUUUAUUGCUGAAAGAUGGGCUCGCGUCUGAUUAGAUAGUUGGUGGGGUAACGGCCUACCAAGGCGACGAUCAAUAGCCGACCUGAGAGGGUGACCGGCCACAUUGGGACUGAGACACGGCCCAGACUCC
rnacentral:rRNA from 1 species